rnacentral:rRNA from 1 species
CCUACGGGAGGCAGCAGUGGGGGAUAUUGCACAAUGGGGGGAACCCUGAUGCAGCGACGCCGCGUGGGUGAAGGAGUGCUUCGGCAUGUAAAGCCCUAUCGGCAGGGAAGAAGCAAGACGGUACCUGACUAAGAAGCCCCGGCUAACUACGUGCCAGCAGCCGCGGUAAUAGGUAGGGGGCGAGCGUUGUCCGGAUUCACUGGGUGUAAAGGGAGCGUAGACGGCCAUGCAAGCCAGGGGUGGAAGCCCGGGGCCCAACCCCGGGACUGCCCUUGGAACUGCAUGGCUGGAGGGCGGGAGGGGCAGGCGGAAUGCAUGGUGUAGCGGUGAAAUGCGGAGAUAUCAGGAGGAACACCGGCGGCGAAGGCGGCCUGCUGGACCGCGACUGACGUUGAGGCUCGAAAGCGUGGGGAGCGAACAGGAUUAGAUACCCCAGUAGUC